UUGAACCUGAUUUAACAGGUUUUAUUUUAUUUAUUUUCCGAUUUCGGAACUUAUAAAAACCUGUUAUCGGACUAAUAAAUAUACAAACAUAUAAUUUACAACGUGGAACAUUUAUUUUUAUUUAAAAAUUUGUUAUUUUUUUGAUUUAUUUCUGAGGUUAGUUACAUAGCGAAGUUUGUCGCAUAAAGGUAGUUGACAUUCAAUUUUGACAGCCAAAACGUCAACAAAAAUUAACACAGUUACGCGCUCUUAUUCAAUGUCUUAGUGAUGAAGUAAAAAAAAUCCUACAAUUACGAAGAAGUGCGAAUGAAUCUUUGGGAGGCGUCGAAGAAAUAAUGACGUUAAUUGGAAAGUGACAAUGAGACCGAAAUCUUCGGGAAUGUCGAAAAGUCACGUUUAGGCAAUCAGAACGUGUCCGGUGGACAAGUGCCGUUUUAACAGCUCCUAACCAGGUUAAAAACCCCCAAGUGGCUAUUGAAAAGAUGAUGGAACACCUGAACCAUCUACAACGAACGCUGUUUAAACAGUUUAAAGAGUAAACAAUACUCCACUUGAAAUUUAAAUUACUUUUUUAUUUUCUUUAUUUCUUAGUUUUAAGAAAAAGUGUUGAAAAAGAAAGUUGAUUUUCUAAAUAAUUAUUGCAUUACAAAGUUGUAUUAACAAUUUCCAAUUAACAUAGAGCGUUUCGUUAUUAAUUUCACGCAAGAUUUGAUCCAAUUUAAUAUAAUUGAAAAUAUAAAUGGGAAUAAAAGUUAGUUUUUUGCAA